rnacentral:rRNA from 1 species
CUUGCUUUCUUUGCUGGCGACCGGCGCACGGGUGAGUAACACGUAUCCAACCUGCCCUUUACUCGGGGAUAGCCUUUCGAAAGAAAGAUUAAUACCCGAUAGCAUAAUGAUUCCGCAUGGUUUCAUUAUUAAAGGAUUCCGGUAAAGGAUGGGGAUGCGUUCCAUUAGGUUGUUGGUGAGGUAACGGCCCACCAAGCCUUCGAUGGAUAGGGGUUCUGAGAGGAAGGUCCCCCACAUUGGAACUGAGACACGGUCCAA